UAGGAUCUUGCUAUGUUGCCCUGGCUGGGAUGCAGCGGCUAUUCACAGGUGCAAUCAUAGUGCACUACAGCCUCAAACUCCUAGCCUCAAGCAAUCCUCAUGCCUCAGCCUCCAGAGUAGCUGGGCCUACAGGUACUUAACACCUCAUCUGGCAUCCCCCAGUCAGAUAUUUGGAUGAGACCCCUGCCUUGGCUAACACCUUGAUGAAAACCUGUGGAAGGUUCUAAGGCAGGAGCAAUAGCAAAAAUUGGGAAUGGGAAGAAACAGGUACCAGCCAGGACACCUGAACGAACUUGGAGCUCAGGAACCCAGGAGGGGAUUGGAGAGAGUGGGGAGACUCCAUGGUCCACAAUGAAUGCUCCUUCCCCAUCCGAAAAAAUCCCCUAGCCCAGUUUUUGGGCAGAUGCCAGACUUUUAUUCUGAAGCGUGGGCCACAACCUAUGAGGUAAUCUUUGGAGCUUCAUUCUGAGGCGGAAUCCCAUUGGCCAGUUGGGGAAGCCCCUCCCAGGAUUCCUGGCGCUCCGCCUUCCCUGAAGCCUAUAAAAGCGCAGGUCCCCGCCUCGGCAGCCACGGGACACCUGCAUCUGCCAACAAGACUGGAAGCAGAAAGGGACAGAGACGGCGAAGUUUGACGGUCUGGAAAGCAGAGACCAGCAGGGCUGACUGCUUGGGAGCACCAAAUAUCCGGACAGCGCCUCUCGGGAGGUCCGAGAAGAGAACCGCGAUCUGUUUCAGCACCGGGGCUCAGGACAGUUCCCAGCGGGCUCCGUUUCGUCUCCAGAACCCUGGACAGCUCCUCCAGCCUCCCAAAGUGCUAGGAUUACAGGCGUGAGUCACUGCGCCUGGCCCAAGUCCGGAAUUUUCAACAGGACAUGGGUGUUACUGUGCCCAUGUGACAUUUGGGGAACCCAAGGCCCUGAGAAAGGCAGAAAAAUAACCCACGCAGGGACUCUCAGCCCACAAGUGAAGCUCUUGGAAUGCACUCCCUCCACCUCCAACCAGAGCUCCCCACAACUGACCCUGCCUUCUUCUGCAAGCUCCAUUUCAUCAAGGGAAACGAUCCUUAUUGCCUCACCAUUUCCCACGUGAAGUCUGUAUUGACAUUCUCAUAGACCUGGGAUAUUGUGUCUGCAGCACAUAGUCCAAUUAUUUUCAUGUUAUCUACUGACAGGUCUAUUUGUCUCCCUGUUACACUGUGAGCUCCGUGAGGGCAGAAACAAUGUUAGUAUUUUCACUGCUGUGUCCCCAGCGCCUGGUCCGGGGCCCGGCACACAGCAGGCAUAUAAUAAGCAUGUGUUGAAUCAAUAAAGGCAUCAAAGAAUAAACCAAUACAUCAAUCAAUAAAUGAAUGAAUGGCCUCAGCACACACAGGAAGAUCCUUCUUCUAGGUCUCCCCCAGAGAGAUACUGGAGGGCAAUGGUUGCUGGAGGUGUUUAUUGGGGAAGCAUAAUUGAAUUUGUGGACACUUAAGGGCCGGCCAGCCAACUCACAGCCCCAAGAGAGAGAGCCAGGCUCAUUUAAUUAGCAAUUACAAGGCACUGAUUCCUCAUUAGCUCUGGCAACCCUCGUCUCCCUCCUCAGCCCCAGACAAAUGAAAUCUUUCUCUCUCUCCCAGGAGUACUGCCUCAGUGGGUCCAUUAACAAGCAGAGAAAAUGAGAUUAGAAGACACCUAAAUGCCAGAGGCACUUUAUGAAUGGGCUGAGCAGAGGGAGGUUCAAUGUCUGGGUUAGGUCUAAUUGUGGGAGGUUUCCUGGUCUAUUUAGAAUUGCCCCCUGGGAAUGCAAGGUCUUUCAGAAAGGAAAAGGCACACAGAUAUUGCCUUCUGGGGUCCUCAAUGGAGGAGGACAUUCUGCUAUGGGUGUCUCCCAGUCACCCCAAAUUAAUCAUUUCAAAGUGAACACUCAAUCUGCCCAGCCCCUAGCUUCCUCCCCUGACAUGCCCAUGAAUAUGACAGUCCCUCUACAUGCCCAAGAUCCUCCCCUCCUCAUCCACUCCCCAUGAUCCCCAAGAUGAGUCACUGUGCUCAAAUCCAUCCUCUCUCCUCCAGCCCUCUGCCUCCAUGACCUCCCUCCAGCCCUCUGCCUCCAUGACCUCCGCCUCCCUGCAUGUCCGGAUCUCCUCACUGUCUCCCCUCUGAGCAUACACACACAUACAGCCUGUUCAUUCUCUACAUGCAGCGAGGGGACUUUCCAGAACACACAUCUGACCAAGUUCCACUCCUGCCUGUCACCCUUCCAAGAGCCCCACUGACUGCAGAAUAACGUUCAAAUAUCCGGUUGGGCGUGGUGGCUCAUGCCUGCAGUCCCAGCACUUUGGGAGGCCAAGGUGGGUGGAUCACUUGCACAGGACCACAGGCGUGUGCCACCACACCCAGCUAAUUUUUAUAUUUUUGGUAGAGACGGAGUUUCACCAUGUUGGCCAGGCUGACCUCAAGUGAUCCACCCGCCUCAACCUCCCAAAGUGCUGGGAUUACAGGCAUGAGUCACUGCACCGGUCUAAUUUUUUCAGAGUCUCACUCUUGCCCAGGCUGGAGUGCAGUAGCAUGAUCUCGGUUCACUGCAACCUCUGCCUCCUGGUUUCAAGCGAUUCUCUUGGCUCAGCCUCCUGAGCAGCUGGGAUUACAGGCACGUGCCACCACACUUAGCUAAUUUUUGUAUUUUUAGUAGAGAUGGGGGUCUCACCAUGCUGGCACAGUUGGUCUUGAACUCCUGACCUCAAGUGAUCCACCCACCUCGGCUUCCCAAAGUGCUGGGAUUACAGACGUGAGCCACCGCGCCCGGCCAGCCUUUAUUGAUUCUUUUUAAAGCCACACUAACCUUUUAUUUUCCCCCAAAGACCCCUGGGAGCCCUCAGUUUUUCCUGGCAGUUUCAUCUUUGUACCCCUGACCUCCCCACACACACGCCUAGCUCAGUGCUGGCAUCCAAUAUUCACUUUGGGUAUAAAUGCUUGUGCCUGAGCCUAUCACCUUCAUCACACAGAAAAUCCUGGAGGCCACACACCCCUGUAAAGACGAGCCAUUACCCACAGAGGUCCAACCAACUUACCACCCUCUCCCAGCCACCCCCAAGGACCCAGCUUGCAGCUGCCUGCUCAAUGGCUUUAGAAACUAAAAAAGGUGAAUGAGUUUCCAUCACUGCCCUCCUGGGCUUUGCCGUUAUGGCUGGUUAACUUGACAGAAGAACACAUUAUACUUCAUUUUUUGCUGUUGUCUUGUUGGAAAAAAAAGUGACAGCUGGGUGCAGUGGUGCACACUGUAGUCACAGCUACUCAGGAGAAUUGCUUGAGCACAGGAAUUGGAGGCUACACUGAGCAAUGAUCGCCUCACUGCACUCCAGCCUGAACGACAGAGCAAGACCCUCUUAAAAAAUACGUGAGAGAGGGUGCGUAUGAUGGCUCAUGCCUGUAAUCCCAGCAGUUUG
rnacentral:lncRNA from 1 species